GGCCCGCGAUACGGAAAACUCGGUUUUCACGCCGUUUACUCCGCGUUCCGACGGGCCGCGUCCAGUCUCCUUCGGCUCGCGUCCCGUUUUACUGUCAUCUGUCUGCGCCGGUUGACCGUCUCGGGCGGCCGUUCACGGCGACGCGACCGCGUAACGAAACCCGGCGGGCUCGCCAUUUACACUAGGCGAUCGCCUUAAACCGGUCAUUCGCUCGCCGUUUCACGCGUAUUCGCGUGCGGUUUUCCACCGUCGUUCCACGUUUUCACAGACACUAGCCCCCCCUCCCCCUUAGUGCCCGAUGCUCCCCCUCGGAACCGAAAUUUCCCCUCGGAGGGUGGUGGGGGGUACCGUCUGUGACCGCCGGCGCGCAUUAUAAAUCACAAUGUUCGUGAUUUUCACACCGCGUCCCGAUAAUAUAACGCGACGUCCGUCGUCGUUCUCGACACCCGAGAUGUACGUGUGCGUUUUUUUUUUUUUUUGGUUUUUUUUUUUUUUUCGUUGCGUGAAAACUUUUUCUAGACCAUUUUCUGAAAGGAAAUUUCCUUUCAAAACUAUUAGAGAAAAUAUACGAAGCCUGUUAAACUGUUUUACUAUAUUUUCACCAUCGACUGUACUCGGCUCAGAACCGUUUUUAGUAAUCAAUGAUUUAUCAUUGCUUGCGGAUACUAAUUGAUUUUCCUUCUGUCUUCUUCCUUCCCAAAUUUCCACCACACAACAGUGGCUGCACCCGUCUCCAUUAUCAUUAACUAGGACACCUUAUGGUUUUUGUAAUGACUUAUUAUGGUUUUCUUAGUCAGCCUACAGUUAAUAUCGGUGAGAUAUGUUUUUUUUUUAAUUAAAAAAAAGAACUUCAGAGUUAACAAAAAUAUAUUUUUCACAGGUCAUUCAUAAGUAUUUGCUACGAUCGGAAAUAAUGUUAAAAAACAAAAAAAAAUGUAAUCAAGUAUUUUCAUCAAAUAAUAUCUCUAGUGGUAGUAUAUUUCCGUAUUGUUUUCUUCGUGCGAGUACAGCAUUUUCGUUUGAUACAAUUACUUUUUUUUACAACUCCAUAAAAUUACAAUUAUAUUUUGGCGACCUGAUUUUCUAUUUAAAUUGCGUCGGCAGGAUUCGGACGAAUUUCGGUAAAAAUAACGGAAAAUCGUACACAACCCGUUUUUGACGUUUUCGCGCAGUAAAAUAUUAUUAUUAUUAAUGCACAGAAACGUUGUCGAUUCGGGUUUUUAGCGAACAGAGAAAAAUGAACGCGCGUUGUCGUUAUUAUUACAACGGACAAGCGACCGUCCCGCGCAUGACGCGCCGCGAGUUAAGGGUUCCGACGAUUUCCGUCGCCGCGUAACGGGUCGUCGCAUCCCGCCGCGUUUUACCCGGUACCGCGCGAUGCGUACGAAUCGACGGCAGACGGCGGUGAAAACGGACCCAAAGCACCGCCGGUCGUGCGACACCGUUG